GAGCCGAAGGCUGACGCUUAACGACUGAGCCCCCCAGGCGCCCCUGGGACCCGCCUUCCAACAGAGCACCUGUACGGGCAGAUUCCACUGACAAAGCAUUGCUGUUAAAUUGGUGUGGAUGCUGCUGAAGGCUCGCUGUCCCCUCUGUGUACAUCUCCCUGUGGAGCCGUCACCGAGCCUCUCAGGAACCAGGCUUCCUGCGUGGGCCACCUUCUGAGGGCCGCUGCCUAGAGCCCCAUGAAAUACACUCUUGUCAGUCCCCACAUCAGUGGGACGCCGCCACUUCCAGAGACAAAGACUCGCAUUGGGGUCCCAGUGAAGAUGCAAGACUCCUCCCCAGAGGACAGAGCAACCUGCUUGACAGGAACAGAGGGGUCCUCUUGCCCCAAAGCACUGGAUGUCAGAACAGAGGGGUCUUGGGUGGGCGGAAGCCUCUGGGAAUCUGGACAGGAGUGAACAUUUCCCAGCAGAAACUUUUCCUGGCAAGAGAACUGGAGAGGAAGAGACCCUUCCCUCACAGCCUCAGGAGGAACCAGGCCUGCCCACGGCUUGAUGUCAGAUUUCUAACCACCGGAACUGUGAGAAAAUAAAUUUUGCCAGCAGUGAAAUAAGGGGCGAGCCUGCAAUCCCCAAGACUCAGCCUGAUCGUAAGCAGAUUACAUCUCCGGGCAGAACUGUGCCCCAGCCUUCCCACGCCGCUGAAUGGGUGA